rnacentral:misc_RNA from 1 species
GUGAAUCAUCGAAUCUUUGAACGCACCUUGCGCUCCUUGGUAUUCCGAGGAGCAUGCCUGUUUGAGUGUCGUGAAAUCAUCAACUCAACCUUUUUGGUUGAGCUUGGACUUGGGGACUUUGCUGGCGUUUGUCGGCUUCCCUUGAAUGGAUUAGCUGGAAGAUGAAUUUGCAGCAUAUAUGCGGUGUAAUAACGUGUUUCACUGUGUAGCUCAAGUCAAUCUGGCUUCAAAUGUCUCUACAUUUUGACAAUUAGGCCUCAAAUCAGGUAGGACUACCCGCUGAACUUAAGCAUAUCAAUAAGCGGAGGA